UACGUAGGCAGCGAGCGUUGUUCGGAAUUACUGGGCGUAAAGAGUGUGUAGGCGGUGCUCUAAGUUCGGUGUGAAAUCUCCCGGCUCAACUGGGAGGGUGCGCCGAAUACUGAAUGACUAGAGUGCGGGAGAGGAUAGUGGAAUUCCUGGUGUAGCGGUGGAAUGCGCAGAUAUCAGGAGGAACACCAAUAGCGAAGGCAGCUCGCUGGGACGUUACUGACACUGAGGCGCGAAAGCGUGGGGGAGCGAACAGG
rnacentral:rRNA from 1 species